rnacentral:rRNA from 1 species
GACGAACGUUGGCGGCGUGCUUAAUACAUGCAAGUCCACUGAAGCAGUGGUAGCAAUAUCGCUGUGGAGGUGGCGCACGGGUGAGUAACACGUAGGUAAUCUGCCUUCAGGUCUGGCAUAACUCCGGGAAACCGGGGCUAAUAGCAGAUGAUGCAGCGGCUCGACAUCGAGACAGUUGUUAAAGCUAUGGCGCCUGAAGAUGAGCCUGCGUCUGAUUAGCUAGUUGGCGGGGUAACGGCCCACCAAGGCAACGAUCAGUAGCUGGUCUGAGAGGAUGAUCAGCCACACUGGAACUGAGACACGGUCCAGACUCCUACGGGAGGCAGCAGUAAGGAAUAUUGCUCAAUGGGAGAAAUCCUGAAGCAGCAACGCCGCGUGAGGGACGAAGGGCUUUUGCUUGUAAACCUCUGUAGUGAGAGAAAAAAAUCCCAACCUUUGGGACAUGAUGGUAUCUCAAAAGUAAGCCCCGGCUAACUACGUG